AACGGUAGCUAAUACCGCAUAACGUCGCAAGACCAAAGAGGGGGACCUUCGGGCCUCUUGCCAUCGGAUGUGCCCAGAUGGGAUUAGCUAGUAGGUGGGGUAACGGCUCACCUAGGCGACGAUCCCUAGCUGGUCUGAGAGGAUGACCAGCCACACUGGAACUGAGACACGGUCCAGACUCCUACGGGAGGCAGCAGUGGGGAAUAUUGCACAAUGGGCGCAAGCCUGAUGCAGCCAUGCCGCGUGUAUGAAGAAGGCCUUCGGGUUGUAAAGUACUUUCAGCGGGGAGGAAGGGAGUAAAGUUAAUACCUUUGCUCAUUGACGUUACCCGCAGAAGAAGCACCGGCUAACUCCGUGCCAGCAGCCGCGGUAAUACGGAGGGUGCAAGCGUUAAUCGGAAUUACUGGGCGUAAAGCGCACGCAGGCGGUUUGUUAAGUCAGAUGUGAAAUCCCCGGGCUCAACCUGG
rnacentral:rRNA from 1 species